CCUACGGGGGGCAGCAGUGAGGAAUAUUGGACAAUGGACGAGAGCCUGAACCAGCCAAGUAGCGUGAAGGAUGAAUGCCCUAUGGGUUGUAAACUUCUUUUAUAUGGGAAUAAAAUGUUCCACGUGUGGGAUUUUGUAUGUACCAUAUGAAUAAGGAUCGGCUAACUCCGUGCCAGCAGCCGCGGUAAUACGGAGGAUCCGAGCGUUGUCCGGAUUUAUUGGGUGUAAAGGGAGCGUAGGUGGAUUGUUAAGUCAGUUGUGAAAGUUUGCGGCUCAACCGGCAAAUUGCAGUUGAAACUGGCAGUCUUGAGUACAGUAGAGGGGGGCGGAAUGCGUGGUGUAGCGGUGAAAUGCUUAGAUAUCACGAAGAACUCCGAUGGCGAAGGCAGCUCCCUGGACUGCAACUGACACUGAGGCUCGAAAGUGUGGGUAUCAAACAGGAUUAGAUACCCGAGUAGUC
rnacentral:rRNA from 1 species